AAACGAUACUGAGCGAAGACAGUCUGUCCGCCUAUAAUAUUACUAUAUAUAAUAUAUAUAUUAUGUUAUGUUCCGUAGUGGGGACGACGUCUGACCGUCACGAAACGAAAACUGGUCGCCGCCGAAGCCUGAUCUUAUUUGGAAUAGAGUAUAACUAUAAUUUAUUCAACCAUAUUCAAUUAAUGGCCAAAUUAAACCUCUUACCAAUCAGAAGUGUAAUCCAAUGCAUUCCAAAUGGCUGAAUCUCUCUGCAUUGUUAGUCAUGUGACCCGAUAAAAUUAUGUUAUAAUUUAAUUCAUCUGUCGAUGAAUUAGAGCCAAGUUUUAGAGACACUUCAACAUUUGCUCCUACAGUGAGUAUGUGGACAGACAUAAGUAGUUGAGGAGUAAACUAGUAGUGCAACAAUUCUUGAAAUUAGUUUGAAUUAGGGACCUUCAGCUCCACCCAGAUCACAUGACCAACCGCUAGAAACCUCAAUGUGAUGUAUUA